GGCAAAAGGGAGCUUGAUUGCGAGACCAACAAGUCGAGCAAAGACGAAAGUCGGGCUUAGUGAUCCGGUGGUAGAAAGUGGAAUUGCCAUCGCUCAACGGAUAAAAGCUACCCUGGGGAUAACAGGCUAAUCUCUCCCAAGAGUUCAUAUCGACGGGGAGGUUUGGCACCUCGAUGUCGGCUCAUCACAUCCUGGGGCUGGAGUAGGUCCCAAGGGUUGGGCUGUUCGCCCAUUAAAGUGGUACGCGAGCUGGGUUCAGAACGUCGUGAGACAGUUUGGUUCAUAUCCAUCGCGGGCGCAAGAAGUUUGAGAGGAGCUGCUCCUAGUACGAGAGGACCGGAGUGGACGGAUCAACGGUGUCCCAGUUGUCACGCCAGUGGCACGGCUGGAAAGCCGCAUCCGGGAAGGAUAAACGCUGAAAGCAUCUAAGCGCGAAGCCAACCUCAAGAUGAGACUUCUCAUCAGCAAUGAGUAAGACCCCUUACAGACGAUGAGGUAGAUAGGUUAUGAGUGGAAGAGCCGCAAGGCUUGGAGCGACAUAAAACUAAUAGGUCGAGGUCUUAACUUA
rnacentral:rRNA from 1 species